AAGUCUGACGGAGCAACGCCGCGUGAGUGACGAAGGCCUUCGGGUCGUAAAGCUCUGUUGUUAGGGAAGAACAAGUACCGUUCGAAUAGGGCGGUACCUUGACGGUACCUAACCAGAAAGCCACGGCUAACUACGUGCCAGCAGCCGCGGUAAUACGUAGGUGGCAAGCGUUGUCCGGAAUUAUUGGGCGUAAAGCGCGCGCAGGCGGUCUCUUAAGUCUGAUGUGAAAGCCCACGGCUCAACCGUGGAGGGCCAUUGGAAACUGGGGGACUUGAGUGCAGAAGAGGAGAGUGGAAUUCCACGUGUAGCGGUGAAAUGCGUAGAUAUGUGGAGGAACACCAGUGGCGAAGGCGGCUCUCUGGUCUGUAACUGACGCUGAGGCGCGAAAGCGUGGGGAGCAAACAGGAUUAGAUACCCUGGUAGUCCACGCCGUAAACGAUGAGUGCUAGGUGUUGGGGGGUUCCACCCUCAGUGCUGAAGUUAACACAUUAAGCACUCCGCCUGGGGAGUACGACCGCAAGGUUGAAACUCAAAGGAAUUGACGGGGGCCCGCACAAGCAGUGGAGCAUGUGGUUUAAUUCGAAGCAACGCGAAGAACCUUACCAGGUCUUGACAUCCUCUGCCACUCCUAGAGAUAGGACGUUCCCCUUCGGGGGACAGAGUGACAGGUGGUGCAUGGUUGUCGUCAGCUCGUGUCGUGAGAUGUUGGGUUAAGUCCCGCAACGAGCGCAACCCUUGAUCUUAGUUGCCAGCAUUCAGUUGGGCACUCUAAGGUGACUGCCGGUGACAAACCGGAGGAA
rnacentral:rRNA from 2 species